rnacentral:lncRNA from 1 species
AACCUUUCCUGGGAUUGUUGUGCCUGCUUGUCCUCAUCGAAUUGGAGAACUUUUUGGUACGCCCCUUCCUCUCUUCUUUUCGAAAAUACUCUGCUCAGGGAGUGAGUAAUCUUAGAUCGGGUCGUGCCCCCCCUUCCAUCACCCUCGGGGGAGGAAUCAUUCCAUUCAGCAGUCCUACGUGGGUCAGUUAAUGUCUUUUAUGAAAGGAUUAGACGGUGACAACUAGUGCUGUGAACAAUCCCUAUCAUCAAAUCUCUGAGCUCAGGAAGUCAGGUUAAGACGUCGACUUAUACAGGGUCUUGCCCGAGGAGAUGAAAAAGAAUUCCUGUCUUUAGAAGUCAAUCCCACUAAACUACACUUGUACGCUUGACAUGAAAAGUAGAGGCAAGCGGAGUCAAAGGCCUCAACAGGAUAGAGGCUGCUCCUGGAAGCGGAAGAAUAAGUCCAGUAUUGAACGGCAGGACUUGAAGGAAGCAGACCGGACACUCUCGCCUCACAUGCUAAUCUUCCGGUCCGCUG